rnacentral:rRNA from 1 species
AUCCGGCAGUUCUGGUGGGGGAGUAAACAUGGAAAGAGGAAGCCAUCUUGGGUCUCAUGGGACGUCAUGACAAAGCCAAAGCAUCUCGGCGGGAUGGGCUUUAAGGACAUGGAGAUCUUCAAUCUUGAAUUGCUAGCUCGUCAGGCUUGGAGGUUGGUUGCUGAACCAAAUUCUCUUAGUGCAAGGAUUUUGAAGACGACAUAUUUCCUAAACAUGUGUUUUUUGGAAGCAGAACUAGGCAACCAUCCAUCUCAAAUAUGGAGAGUUGUGCUUGACGGGAGAUACAUAUUAAAGCAAGGCAUCAUUAGACGCAUUAGGGAUGGAAAAACAACACAAAUAUGGAGGUCUAACUGGCUACAGAGGACUGGACCUUUGAGGCUGAUAACAGCUCUAACGCCCAAUCCACCUUAG